rnacentral:rRNA from 1 species
AUUGAACGCUGGCGGCAUGCCUUACACAUGCAAGUCGAACGGUAACGGGCCUUCGGGUGCCGACGAGUGGCGAACGGGUGAGUAAUACAUCGGAACGUGCCCGAUCGUGGGGGAUAACGAGGCGAAAGCUUUUCUAAUACCGCAUACGAUCUACGGAUGAAAUCAGGGGACCGCAAGGCCUUGCGCGGACGGAGCGGCCGAUGGCAGAUUAUGUAGUUGGUGGGAUAAAAGCUUACCAAGCCGACGAUCUGUAGCUGGUCUGAGAGGAUGAUCAGCCACACUGGGACUGAGACACGGACCAGACUCCUAAGGGAGGCAGCAGUGGGGAAUGUUGGACAAUGGGCGCAAGCCUGAUCCAGCCAUGCCGCGUGCAGGAUGAAGGCCUUCGGGUUGUAAACUGCUUUUGUACGGAACGAAAAGCCUUAUUUUAAUACAGGAGGGUCAUGACGGUACCGGAAGAAUAAGCACCGGCUAACUACGUG